CUGCUGCCUUCCGUAGGAGUUUGGACCGUGUCUCAGUUCCAAUGUGGGGGACCUUCCUCUCAGAACCCCUACGCAUCGUCGGCUUGGUGGGCCGUUGCCCCACCAACUACCUAAUGCGCCGCAUGCCCAUCCGUGACCGGGGUCGCCCCCUUUGGCCGGCAGGGGAUGUCCCCUCCCGGCAUUAUGUUGUAUUAGGCGGGAUUUCUCCCGGUUAUCCCCCUGCAUAGGGCAGGUUCCAUACGUGUUACUCACCCGUGCGCCGGUCGCCGGCAGGCG
rnacentral:rRNA from 1 species